UCAAGCUGAAAAGAGCGCAAGGGGAAUGCCUUGGCAUCAGGAGCCGACGAAGGACGUGACAAGCUGCGAUAAGCCACGGGGAGGAGCAAAUAUCCGUUAUAUCCGUGGAUUUCCGAAUGGGGGAACCCGCUCAAGCAAUACUUGAGCAUCGUGCGUUGAAUCAAAUAGGCGUACGAAGGGAACGGCCUGAACUGAAACAUCUAAGUAGGGCCAGGAAAAGACAUCAACCGAGAUUCCGCUAGUAGUGGCGAGCGAACGCGGAGGAGGCCAAACCGAGGGACGCAAGUUCUUCGGGGUUGCGGACAGACAUCAUGACCAGAGGAAGUUAGGAGAACGGCGUGGGAAAGUCGGCCAUAGAAGGUGAGAGCCCUGUAUCUGAAAAUGAAGACUGGCAGUCUGGAUCCAGAGUACCGCGGGACACGUGAAACCCCGUGGGAAGAUGGGGGGACCAUCCUCCAAGCCUAAAUACUACCUAAUGACCGAUAGCGAAUAGUACUGUGAAGGAACGGUGAAAAGAACCCCGGGAGGGGAGUGAAAAAGAACCUGAAACCCUAUGCUUACAAGCACCGAGAGCACGUCAAAGUGUGAUCGGGUACCUUUUGUAGAAUGGUCCGGCGAGUUAUUGUAUGCGGCAAGGUUAAGUGCUUAAGGCACGGAGCCGAAGCGAGAGCAAGUCUGAAUAGGGCGAAAGAGUCGUAUGCAAUAGACCCGAAACCGAGUGACCUAUCCAUGUCCAGGCUGAAGUGGAGGUAAAACUCCAUGGAGGGCCGAACACACGUCCGUUGAAAAGGCCGGUGAUGAGGUGUGGAUAGCGGAGAAAUUCCAAUCGAACUCGGAUAUAGCUGGUUCUCUCCGAAAUAGCUUUAGGGCUAGCCUCGUGAAAGAUUACUGGAGGUAAAGCACUGAAUGGGCUAGGGGUCGAAAGAUUACUGAACCCUAUCAAACUAAGAAUGCCAGAUAAUUGAUUCACGGGAGUCAGACAAUGUGAGAUAAGUCUCAUUGUCAAAAGGGAAACAGCCCAGACCCACAGCUAAGGUCCCUAAACAUUGUUAAGUGGAAAAGGAUGUGGGGUUGCAUAAACAACCAGGAUGUUGGCUUAGAAGCAGCCACUCAUUAAAAGAGUGCGUAAUAGCUCACUGGUCGAGUGACCCUGCGCCGAAAAUUCAACGGGGCUAAACAAUGUACCGAAGCUUGGGAUUCUAAAGUAAUUUAGAGUGGUAGGAGAGCGUCGAAUAAGGGGUGAAGUCAGAGCGGAAGCGCUGGUGGACUUUAUUCGAGUGAGAAUGCCGGAAUGAGUAGCGAGAAUUAUGUGAGAAUCAUAAUGGCCGAAAAUCUAAGGUUUCCUGAGGAAGGUUCGUCCGCUCAGGGUAAGCCGGGGGCUAAGGCGAGGCGGAGACGCGUAGCCGAUGCACAUACGGUUGAAAUUCCGUAGCCACCGAAAGAUUUAAGUACAGGGACGCUUUAGAAGUGAUGUAGCCGGGCGAUGGUUGACCCGGUCGUAAGGGAUCGAAAAUGAGUAGAGAAGUCAUCAUGGAAAGAGACAAGAAAAGCUGUAUGAAUAUCUUAGGUGCCCGUACCGCAAACCGACACAGGUAGAUAGGAAGAAGAUUCUAAGGCCAACGGGAGAAGGGUUGUUAAGGAACUCGGCAAGUUGACCCCGUAACUUCGGAAUAAGGGGUGCUCAUGAAAGUGAGCCGCAGAGAAUAGGCCCAGGCAACUGUUUACCAAAAACACAGGUUUGUGCUAAAUCGAAAGAUGACGUAUACGAGCUGACGCCUGCCCGGUGCUGGAAGGUUAAGAGGAGAUGUGCAAGCAUUGAAUCGAAGCCCCAGUGAACGGCGGCCGUAACUAUAACGGUCCUAAGGUAGCGAAAUUCCUUGUCAGGUAAG
rnacentral:rRNA from 1 species